UGGGGAAUAUUGCACAAUGUGGGAAACCCUGAUGCAGCGACGCCGCGUGAAGGAAGAAGUAUCUCGGUAUGUAAACUUCCAUCAGCAGGGAAGAAAAUGACGGUACCUGACUAAGAAGCACCGGCUAACUACCUGCCAGCAGCCGCGGUAAUACGUAGGGGGCAAGCGUUACCCGGAUUUACUGGGUGUAAAGGGAGCGUAGACGGAGCAGCAAGUCUGAUGUGAAAGGCAGGGGCUCAACCCCUGGACUGCAUUGGAAACUGUUGGUCUUGAGUACCGGAGGGGUAAGCGGAAUUCCUAGUGUAGCGGUGAAAAUGCGUAGAUAUUAGGAGGAACACCAGUGGCGAAGGCGGCUUACUGGACGGUAACUGACGUUGAGGCUCGAAAGCGUGGGGAGCAAACAGG
rnacentral:rRNA from 1 species